UUUUUUGUCAUCAUUAGUUCCAGAUUCGUUAGGCAUAUUGGAUGGCUGUUCACUUGUAAUAGCAGGUCUUGUUUCAGUGACAUCCUGUCUGUCAAACCUCUGGUUUGCAUUGUAAUCCAUCUGAAUGUCUGGAUUUUUGGUAGUCCCGUCAGACUGUUCAGAUGACUGAUGUGGUGGGUCCCUGGUCUCUGUUUUAGCCAACUCUUUUGUUUUU